UUUUUGGAAUCCCAGCUUCACCCUGUCAACUGCUUAGGAAUCCGGGCUUUUGCUGAUAUGCAUGCAUGUACCGACCUUCUGAACAAGGCCAACACCUAUGCAGAGCAACAUUUUGCAGAUGUCGUACUUAGUGAAGAAUUUCUCAAUCUUGGCAUCGAACAAGUGUGCAGCUUAAUCUCAAGCGACAAACUUACCAUUUCUUCAGAAGAGAAGGUAUUUGAAGCAGUAAUAGCGUGGGUGAACCACGACAAGGAUGUGAGGCAAGAGUUUAUGGCCCGACUGAUGGAACAUGUACGGUUACCUUUGCUUCCUCGGGAAUAUUUAGUUCAGAGGGUUGAAGAGGAAGCAUUGGUCAAGAAUAGCAGUGCUUGCAAAGAUUACCUCAUUGAAGCAAUGAAGUAUCAUUUGCUGCCAACAGAGCAGCGUAUAUUAAUGAAGAGUGUCCGGACUCGGCUGAGGACACCCAUGAACCUUCCCAAAGCAUGGUCUACAUGGCUGGACUUGUUUUUGCUGUUGGUGGCUUUAAUGGCUCAUUAAGAGUUCGCACUGUAGAUUCCUACGACCCUGUGAAGGACCAGUGGACCAGCGUUGCUAACAUGAGAGACCGGAGAAGCACUUUGGGAGCUGCUGUGUUAAAUGGAUUGUUAUACGCUGUGGGAGGCUUUGAUGGGAGUACAGGUUUGUCAUCUGUGGAAGCAUACAACAUAAAGUCUAAUGAGUGGUUUCAUGUAGCUCCCAUGAAUACAAGGAGGAGCAGUGUUGGUGUGGGUGUUGUUGGAGGUUUGCUCUAUGCUGUAGGAGGUUAUGAUGGAGCAUCACGUCAGUGUCUUAGCACAGUAGAAUGCUAUAAUGCUACAACAAAUGAGUGGACCUAUAUAGCAGAAAUGAGCACCAGGCGGAGUGGAGCAGGUGUUGGUGUGUUAAACAAUUUAUUGUAUGCUGUAGGAGGUCAUGAUGGCCCUUUAGUACGAAAAAGUGUUGAAGUAUAUGAUCCCACCACUAAUGCCUGGAGACAGGUUGCAGAUAUGAACAUGUGCAGAAGAAAUGCAGGAGUUUGUGCAGUUAAUGGUCUGUUAUAUGUUGUUGGAGGGGACGAUGGUUCCUGUAACUUGGCAUCAGUAGAAUAUUAUAACCCAACAACCGAUAAAUGGACAGUUGUGUCAUCGUGUAUGAGCACAGGGAGAAGUUAUGCAGCCUGCUCAAUGUGAAGAGACAAGGAUGAAGACCUUGAUGAUGAUCCACUUCCCCUUAAUGAAUAGGGUCACAGUUAUUGAUAAACCAUUAUGAGCCUGAAGGACAUUUUCAGCAUAUUUAUACAUGAGAAACAGCCUUCAACAAGUAUUUGUGAAGUGACUGAGAAUCUAGCACUUCUCCACUUGUAGCUGCACUUUAAGUCUCAGCAGAAGAUACGAUCGUCUGCCUUUAUAGGCCUCGGAUACUGAAGAUUAUUUUUGGUAGAAGCACCGUGUAGGCUUUUUCUGCAAUGAGCAGCAGCUGACUGAAUUUUCAUAAGAAACUUGGACUGCAGGACUUAAUCUGUAGUCUUUAGACAACAGUUGCUUUCAUAAAGACUAGUUCUUAUCAACCUUGAAUGACUACAGAUUAUUUUGUGAAGGAGGAUGAAGUAAUAUGUGUUCUUGUAAAAUUAAAUUUUAUCUUUAUUUCUUCUAAAAAUCUGUAUACCAGGAACUGAAAAUCUUUGAACAGAUAUUAAAAUCUACGUAAGUAUACAAACUAGUUGAGGAAUAAACUGUUUUCUUUUAUA
rnacentral:sRNA from 1 species